AUUGAACGCUGGCGGCAGGCCUAACACAUGCAAGUCGAACGAGUGGCGGACGGGUGAGUAAUGUCUGGGAAACUGCCCGAUGGAGGGGGAUAACUACUGGAAACGGUAGCUAAUACCGCAUACCAUCGGAUGUGCCCAGAUGGGAUUAGCUAGUAGGUGGGGUAAUGGCUCACCUAGGCGACGAUCCCUAGCUGGUCUGAGAGGAUGACCAGCCAAACUGGAACUGAGACACGGUACAGAAGACUACGGGAGGCAGCAGUGGGGAAGAUUGCACAAGGGGCGAAAGCCUGAUGCAGCCAUGCCGCGGGUAUGAAGAAGGCCUUCGGGUUGUAAAGUACUUUCAGCGGGGAGGCGUUACACGCAGAAGAAGCACCGGCUAACUCCGUGCCAGCAGCCGCGGUAAUGC
rnacentral:rRNA from 1 species